GGGAAAUGAUUUAAUUAUUAAAGCUGUGAACUUUACGUCCGUUCUUUCCCGUGUGUUCACGAUGAUCUCAUAAUUUCCACAUGGACACUCCUGUCUGUCACGUUUCUCAAAGCUGCACCCACACGUGGAUCCCACUGCACGCCUUCAUGCAGGAGCGGUGUGUCCCGGGAGUUUCCCUGACUCCUGUUCUUAGAGGGACAGAGCGACCUCAGGACCUUCUCAAAAGAAGAAGGGAUGUGGCAGACCUGGGGGCACCUCAUUAAAUGAAAUUCUGGGGAGCAUUGGCAGAAGUGGUUGAACCAGAUGCUCAAAGAACCUGAAUCGGCGCUUGUUUGGAAGAGGAUGCACUGCAGAAAUCCUCCUGUAAGUCACAGUAUCCACUUUGGAAAUCCUCCUGUAAGUCAUAGCAUCCACCACAUGUCCUGGCUGCGGAAGAGGCUGGUGGCAGCUUCAAAAGACACCUAAUCUGUAACCAGCACAAAGGGUGGUCGAUGAAGACUCGGUCUCAGUGAAUAAUUUAUUGGCAUAAGCUAAGCACCAAACACAGGAGAUCACCAUAAAACCACAAGGACCAGGACAGCCAUUGAGCUUUGUGGCUUCUUCAUGGGGGAAGACGUGAGACAAAACGUGCUUGGACUUUUCGUCACAACCCUCGGAAAACAGCACGUCCUGAUUUUUCAUCCCAGGCUCCUCCAAGUUUAACUUUCUUUAAAAAUACAUAGGUAAUGAUGAAUAUCUAUCUAUCUAUCCUUUUGAAACACAAUAUUGAUAUUGGCUAUCGGUAUCUGGCUUUUCAUAUCUCCCCCCAUGGCUGAUAUCAGCCACAGGGUAAACAGAAGAUCACAUUUGUUAUAACUGCUAUGGGAAUGUUAUUAAAAAUGGAUACAGUCACGGUAAAUUGGUAGCGGUCAAAAUGUAUUUUAAAUUUACUUGCAGGUGUGUUUGAACACAGAGCAUGACACACACACUGCAUGCUAUAAAUAUGAGAUGUGGAAUGAAUUAUAU
rnacentral:lncRNA from 1 species